GAUGAACGCUGGCGGCAUGCCUAAUACAUGCAAGUCGAACGAGAGGAAGGAAAGCUUGCUUUUCUGAAUCUAGUGGCGAACGGGUGAGUAACACGUAGGUAACCUGCCCAUGUGCCCGGGAUAACUUCUGGAAACGGAUGCUAAAACCGGAUAGGUAGCAGACAAGCAUUUGACUGCAAUUAAAGUGGCUAAGGCCAUGAAAAUGGAUGGACCUGGGGGGGCAUAGCGAGUUGGGUGAGGUAACGGCCCACCAAGGCGACGAUGCAUAGCCGGCCGGGGAGGGCGGACGGCCACAUUGGGACUGAGACACGGCCCAAACUCCUACGGGAGGCAGCAGUAGGGAAUUUUCGUCAAUGGGGGGAACCCUGAACGAGCAUGCCGCGUGAGUGAGGAAGGUCUUCGGAUCGUAAAGCUCUGUUGUAAGAGAAAAACGACAUUCAUAGGGAAUGAUGAGUGAGUGAUGGUAUCUUACCAGAAAGUCACGGCUAACUACGUGCCAGCCGCCGCCGUAA
rnacentral:rRNA from 1 species